AUUGAACGCUGGCGGCAGGCCUAACACAUGCAAGUCGAACGAGUGGCGGACGGGUGAGUAAUGUCUGGGAAACUGCCUGAUGGAGGGGGAUAACUACUGGAAACGGUAGCUAAUACCGCAUACCAUCAGAUGUGCCCAGAUGGAAUUAGCUAGUUGGUGGGGUAACGGCUAACAAAGGCGACGAUGCCUAGCUGGUCUGAGAGGAUGACCUGCCACACUGGAACUGAGACACGGUCCAGACUCCUACGGGAGGCAGCAGUGGGGAAUAUUGCACAAUGGGCGAAAGCCUGAUGCAGCCAUGCCGCGUGUGUGAAGAAGGCCUUCGGAUUGUAAAGUACUUUCGGCGGGGAGGCGUUACCCGAAGAAGAAGCAACGGCUAACUACGUGCCAGCAGCCGCGGUAAUAC
rnacentral:rRNA from 1 species